GACGAACGCUGGCGGCGUGCCUAAUACAUGCAAGUUGAGCGCUGAAGGUUGGUACUUGUACCAACUGGAUGAGCAGCGAACGGGUGAGUAACGCGUGGGGAAUCUGCCUUUGAGCGGGGGACAACAUUUGGAAACGAAUGCUAAUACCGCAUAAAAACUUUAAACACAAGUUUUAAGUUUGAAAGAUGCAAUUGCAUCACUCAAAGAUGAUCCCGCGUUGUAUUAGCUAGUUGGUGAGGUAAAGGCUCACCAAGGCGAUGAUACAUAGCCGACCUGAGAGGGUGAUCGGCCACAUUGGGACUGAGACACGGCCCCAACUCCUACGGGAGGCAGCAGUAGGGAAUCUUCGGCAAUGACGAAAGUCUGACCGAGCAACGCCGCGUGAGUGAAGAAGGUUUUCGGAUCGUAAAACUCUGUUGGUAGAGAAGAACGUUGGUGAGAGUGGAAAGCUCAUCAAGUGACGGUAACUACCCAGAAAGGGACGGCUAACUACGUG
rnacentral:rRNA from 1 species